UGAGGAAUAUUGGUCAAUGGGUGCAAGCCUGAACCAGCCAUCCCGCGUGAAGGACGACUGCCCUAUGGGUUGUAAACUUCUUUUGUAUAGGGAUAAACCUACCCUCGUGAGGGUAGCUGAAGGUACUAUACGAAUAAGCACCGGCUAACUCCGUGCCAGCAGCCGCGGUAAUA
rnacentral:rRNA from 1 species